UACGUAGGGGGCGAGCGUUGUCCGGAUUCAUUGGGCGUAAAGAGCUCGUAGGCGGUUCGGCAAGUCGGGUGUGAAAACUCCAGGCUCAACCUGGAGACGCCACCCGAUACUGCUGUGACUCGAGUCCGGUAGGGGACCACGGAAUACCUGGUGUAGCGGUGAAAUGCGCAGAUAUCAGGAGGAACACCUGCGGUGUAGACGGCUUUCUGGACCAUUGCUGACGCUGAGACACGAAAGCGUGGGUAGCAAACAGG
rnacentral:rRNA from 1 species